CCGCCGCGGUAAUACAGAGACCUCAAGCGUUAUCCGGAUUUAUUGGGCGUAAAGCGUCUGUAGGCGGUUUGUGUUUAGUAUCUUACUGUGUUUGAUUUUUUUCGAACAUAGCAAGAUACUGGACUUUUUCAAGUCUAAUGUUAAAUCUCAGAGCUCAACUCUGAGGCCGCGUUAGAUACUGGCAAACUAGAGAGUAGGAGAGGUGUGUAGAACUUAAUGUGUAGGGGUGAAAUCCGUUGAUAUAUUAGGGAAUACCAAAGGCGAAGGCAUCACACUGGCCUAUCUCUGACGCUGAGAGACGAAAGCGUGGGUAGCGAAGAGGAUUAGAUACCCUUGUAGUCCACGCCGUAAACGAUGGAUGCUAGCUAUUUGAAGUGUCGACCCUUCAAGUGGCGAAGCUAACGCGUUAAGCAUCCCGCCUGGGAAGUACGAGCGCAAGCUUAAAACUCAAAGGAAUAGACGGGGACUCGCACAAGCAGUGGAGCAUGUGGUUUAAUUCGACGAUAACCGCGAACCUUACCAGGGCUUGAAAUCUAUCUGCACGCCUUCCGAAAGGAAGGGAGCCUCCGAGGGUGAUAGACAGGUGCUGCAUGGUUGCCGUCAGUUCGUGCCUUGAGGUGUUCCGUUAAGUCGGGUAACGAACGCAACCCUCAUUGCCAGUUAUAAGUGUCUGGCGAAACUGCCCUCGUUCAGGGGGAGGAAGGAGAGGAUGACGUCAAAUCAGCAUGGCCCUUUGAUGCCCUGGGCUACACACGUGCUACAAUGGGAGGUACAACGGGUUGCCAAACCGCAAGGUGGAGCUAAUCCUAUCAAAACCUUCCUCAGUUCGGAUUGAGGUCUGAAACUCAACCUCAUGAAGUUGGAAUUGCUAGUAAUCGCAGGUCAGCUAUACUGCGGUGAAUACGUUCUCGAGUCUUGUACACACUGCCCGUC
rnacentral:rRNA from 1 species